CGGCCCCUUAGGUGCCACGGCGAGCGGAGAAUAGGGAGGUUUCAGGUUUAGGUUUGAGGUACUCUCUCUCUCCCCCCCUCUCUCAGCUUGCGCUCCUUAUAAAAGAGUUAGCUUAUUCAUAUAGAGCUCUUUCUUUUAUUUUUAUAGUGUGGUGAUCAUACCGCGACGACUCGGGCGCACAAGGCGCCGACGGCGAGCGGCGGGUGAGGCGGACGCGGCCGCAGCCUAGGGAGGACACGACGCCGGCCCAACGACGGAGGCGACGCGCUACGGUUCACUGCCGCAGCCCUUCGCACCGCCGCCCGAGGAGCAGCAGCAGCCUCGACCUCCGGUAGGCCACCCCGUCGCGGUUCGACGUCCCUCGAGCGCUCCUCUACCUCCUGCUCCAGCAGGAGGCGGGGCUGAGGGAGGAGGUGCCGAAGAGGAAGCGGCGGCAGGAGCUGCCGGUGCGGCCAAAAAGGUGGCAGGUCAAGGACUCCCUGCUCAACAAGUUCCUUACGCGCCGGCGCAACCUGCCCCCGCGCCACGAAUUGUGGUUCUUAGAGCUCCGGUAGUGCCUGAGCUAGUCCGCACGGAAACGGUGGUACCUGCGGUUGGAGAGGUGGACCGAAGUCGUUUACCUAUUCCUUCUGCUGAGACCACGGUGCCGGUGCCGGAACAAAGACUCCUUGCUACAGGAGCAACAGAGCGUGUAACCGCUGAGGACGAACCAGUAUAGCGCACCACCUUCUGGAGUCAGAGACUGUUUAAAAGUAGCUGGUAUGCCCUUGUUGUUUUGUAGGGAACUUCUCCAGUUCGCCUAAUCCCGUCGUCCACCUACCUAAGCACUACCUGCGCAUACACCUCUGUAAAGACAUAGAGCACGAAAACCUCUGUAUUCUAAAUUUUGUGCCUUCUUACUCUACGAUCAUUUUCCUCAAUUUCUUCCUUCUACCUGACUUUUUAAGCAAAGUGCUUAUUUUAAAUUUCCCCUAGAUUAUUAGAGAAGUGGACUGCAUAGAGACCACCUCGAACCUGGUCUACGCCUUAAACAAAACCAUCGUUGGCUACCGGAAACCCUAAUGUAAUUUUCGUGACUUCGACAUCGAAAACAGUCUCUAGUUGAUACAGUUGUACCUCUACAGGUCGCCCGGACACUCCGCGAACCCCUCUUUCGAGACCUAGCCGCCAGUGUUCUGUUAUAAUCGUAUCAGUAUCGACUGAACCCCUCCUGUUUGACCGUCCUCAACGGGCAAGGUUCCGGUUUGCACAACAACCUCGAUUCAGUUCGUCAACGCUGACAUCCCCGACAUAGUCAUCCUUAAACCUAAAGUAGCGAAGAGUGAAACGUUAUCCGGAUCAAUUCCUGACUACUUUUCUUCUUCUCUUUGAACACGAGGUCGACGAUAGACCGUCGCAUGAUGUUAUCCCUGGACACUCUGCGGGCAGAUUUGAAAGGAAAAGAGAAAGGGCAAAAUAACCCCUAUAUUUUGGAAUUUUAAA
rnacentral:rRNA from 1 species